rnacentral:lncRNA from 1 species
GGAGACUGCACUCGCUUCAGCAGUUACCAGCUCUGGUAAUAUCUGUUGAGCAACUGCUCCAUGGCAGGGCUGGGGAGGUGGCCCGUGAACAAAUUGGCCAGGGCAGGUCCCUGCUCCGACCUGUGGUGCUUGCAGUCACCGUCUGGGGAGGGACUGCAAAACCACACAGACAGUACGACAGACGGUGCACCAUGAGGAGAAGGUCUGGCUUCCAUGAACAUGUGCCACAGCGGGAGCAAAGUAAAUGAGAUUGGAGGGGGCCAGGAGGAAAUGACAUUGAAGCUCAGAGGAAGAGAAUUUAACCAGGACUGGACUGUCUUCCGGGGGCGAUCAGAGCAAAGGCGCUAAGAUGACAGGAGCCACUAUGCGUCUGAAGAAGCCAGGCUGGAGUGCAGUGGCAUGGAGAAGGACCCAGGAAAUGGAAGAAAGAAAAAAAGAAAACUCUUCU